CCCAAAAAGAUUUUAAAAAUAAUGAAAAUUGGUUAUUGAAUUAAUUGAAACAAAACAAAGGUCAAACCAAAAGUCAACCAACAAGACUAGGUUAGAAAUAACUCAAGAAUAAAUAGUAAAUUAAUCUCAAAACAAAGGUCAAACCAAAAGUCAACCAACAAGACUAGGUUAGAAAUAACUCAAGAAUAAAUAGUAAAUUAAUCAAGAAAAUUAUGAAAAAUUAAACUAAAUAAGGUGGGGUCAG
rnacentral:lncRNA from 1 species